rnacentral:rRNA from 1 species
UACGAGUGCCUCAAGCGUUAUCCGGAAUCAUUGGGCGUAAAGGAUGUGUAGGUGGUCGUGUUAGUCUUCUGUUAAAUUCUUCGGCUUAACCGGGGGCAUGCAGCGGAAACGGCACGACUCGAGGAUGCGAGGGGUCUCUGGAACUCAUAGUGUAGCGGUAAAAUGCGCAGAUAUCAGGAGGAACACCGGUGGCGAAGGCGGGUCUCUGGGCCGAUACUGACGCUGAGGAGCGAAAGCGUGGGGAGCGAACAGG